rnacentral:rRNA from 1 species
GAUGAACGCUGGCGGCGUGCCUAAUACAUGCAAGUCGAGCGAACAGACGAGGAGCUUGCUCCUCUGACGUUAGCGGCGGACGGGUGAGUAACACGUGGAUAACCUACCUAUAAGACUGGGAUAACUUCGGGAAACCGGAGCUAAUACCGGAUAAUAUAUUGAACCGCAUGGUUCAAUAGUGAAAGACGGUUUUGCUGUCACUUAUAGAUGGAUCCGCGCCGCAUUAGCUAGUUGGUAAGGUAACGGCUUACCAAGGCAACGAUGCGUAGCCGACCUGAGAGGGGGAUCGGCCACACGGGAACGGAGACACGGUCCAGACGCCUACGGGAGGCAGCAGUAGGAAAUCUUCCGCAAGGGGCGAAAGCCUGACGGAGCAACGCGGCGGGAGUAAUGAAGUUCUUCGGAUCGAAAAACUCUGUUAUAGGGAAAAAACAAAGGGGAAAGUAACAAUGCACGUCUUGACGUAACCAAAUCAAAAGGCCACGGCUAACUACGG